AGAUGAUGAAACUUCCACUUAGGUAGAGCAGGACGGAUCCCGCAUUCCUCCAUCCAUCCAUUUGACGAACAAUGAAGCCAAAUAGCACAGGCUAGGGUUGAUGAUACAAAUUCAUAGCUGAAAAAUAAGAUCCUGAACAGAGGUUGGGGGAUGAAAUUCGCGGUUUAAAGAGGAGGAAAAGGUGCAAAUAUAGAUGGAGAAGCAGCCCAAAACAACAAUAAAAGCAGAUCAUGAAUUAAUGAAAGCAAGGGAGACAUAAGAGUGGGUGAGAGUGAGGAUUGCCAGGAAGUUUUAAAAUUUGCCGCCAUAGGCAAUCCCAAACGAACAACCCAGCAUCUAUAAAGCAAAAUAAGCAGCCCCUUGGAUCUUUAAAAGGUAAUGAACAACCCAGUAUCUACCCAUCAUCGAUCGUGUGUAGUCGGGAGCUGCACUGGUCAUCGACGGCGAAGAAGACAAAAGGUGUGUGAUUGUUUGGAAAGAGAGGUGGUGUAGAGAGGGAAAACAGGCAUAUGAGAGAGAGGAAAGAAGAACAACAAAAUCGCUCAGGUGAAUUCCGGGAGAUGAAGAGAGAGGAAAGGGAGAAACAAAAUCACGGUAGGCACGCGUCCAUGUCGCCCAGGAUAAUAAGAAGAGAGAAAGAAGAAGCUAAUAUCAUCGUGCAAAUCCAUAAUAAAUUAUCUCUAGAUCCAUAGUAAACAUAAUUAGAUGGUGUUCCAUGCCACAUUGUAGGAUAUGUCACUUUUCUUAAACCUGUAAAUGCAAUCAAUUGAAUAAAUUUUUCAUUAUUCUGGCUCAAAUAUGAAUUUUUUUUCAAGAAAAAAAGUGACAUAUGAAGUUGCAUGCUGAAGAAUUAACCAUAGUAUAUCUAAAUAUUAACCCAACCAAUAUGAUAUUAAAGAACAUGUCACACAUGGAGGAGCCUUAUUAAUAUAUAUAGAUUGAGGAGAGACCACCAUUUGUAAACUUUUUAUUUUUUCUCCUAACACGUAUUCUUGUUUUAUUGAGCAUAGUUUUGUAUUAUACCGUAGGUCUAAAAUUUUAUUUUUUUCAUAUAGUUACAAUUUUAUAGCAAUUAAAGAGUAGUAACGUCUUCUAAUAAUAUAUAGAAGUUAUUUCUUUAGAUUUGUUAUAUUUUUCUUGUUCGUGUAAGACUUUUUCUUCUAUUUGGAUUAAAAAAAAUUUAUUGUUUUUUCUGCUCUAUUUAGGAUAUUUUUCCUGGUUUGUGUAGGAAUUUUUAUUAAUUUUUGAGCUUACUUAUAUAUCUAGUAAUACAAUCUAUUUGUAUCACUUCGUAUCAGAGCCUAACGAUCCCAGGUUAUUACUUGAUAUGUGAUAUAAUUUCAGGUUAUUA